rnacentral:rRNA from 1 species
AGAGUUUGAUCCUGGCUCAGAACGAACGCUGGCGGCAGGCCUAACACAUGCAAGUCGAGCGAACCCUUCGGGGUUAGCGGCGGACGGGUUAGUAACGCGUGGGAAUAUACCCAAAGGUACGGAAUAGCCUCGGGAAACUGAGAGUAAUACCGUAUGUGCCCCUCGGGGGAAAGAUUUAUCGCCUUUGGAUUAGCCCGCGUUGGAUUAGGUAGUUGGUGGGGUAAUGGCCUACCAAGCCGACGAUCCAUAGCUGGUUUGAGAGGAUGAUCAGCAACACUGGGACUGAGGCACGGCCCAGACUCCUACGGGAGGCAGCAGUGGGGAAUCUUAGACAAUGGGGGAAACCCUGAUCUAGCCAUGCCGCGUGGACGAUGAAGGCCUUAGGGUUGUAAAGUCCUUUCAGCUGGGAAGAUAAUGACGGUACCAGCAGAAGAAGCCCCGGCUAACUCCGUGCCAGCAGCCGCGGUAAUACGGAGGGGGCUAGCGUUGUUCGGAAUUACUGGGCGUAAAGCGCACGUAGGCGGACUGGAAAGUUGGGGGUGAAAUCCCAGGGCUCAACCCUGGAACUGCCUUCAAAACUCCCAGUCUAGAGUUCGAGAGAGGUGAGUGGAAUUCCGAGUGUAGAGGUGAAAUUCGUAGAUAUUCGGAGGAACACCAGUGGCGAAGGCGGCUCACUGGCUCGAUACUGACGCUGAGGUGCGAAAGCGUGGGUAGCAAACAGGAUUAGAUACCCUGGUAGUCG